rnacentral:rRNA from 1 species
CCUACGGGAGGCAGCAGUGGGGAAUAUUGCACAAUGGGGGAAACCCUGAUGCAGUGACGCCGCGUGAGUGAAGAAGUAUUUCGGUAUGUAAAGCUCUAUCAGCAGGGAAGAAGAAAGCCGUUCCCUGACUACGCCGCCCCGGCUAACUACGUGCCAGCAGCCGCGGUAAUACUUAGGGGGCAAGCGUUAUCCGGAGUUACUGGGUGUAAAGGGAGCGUAGACGGCAGUGCAAGUCUGAAGUGAAAGGCCAGGGCUUAACCCUGGAACUGCUUUGGAAACUGUGGAGCUAGAGUGCUGGAGAGGUAAGUGGAAUUCCUAGUGUAGCGGUGAAAGGCGUAGAUAUUAGGAGGAACACCAGUGGCGAAGGCGGCUUACUGGACAGUAACUGACGUUGAGGCUCGAAAGCGUGGGGAGCAAACAGGAUUAGAUACCCUAGUAGUC